rnacentral:misc_RNA from 1 species
UCCGGUUUGUCACCGGCAGUCUCAUUAGAGUGCCCAGCUGAAUGUAGCAACUAAUGACAAGGGUUGCGCUCGUUGCGGGACUUAACCCAACAUCUCACGACACGAGCUGACGACAGCCAUGCAGCACCUGUGUUCCCGCCAGCCGAACUGAAGAGAUCCAUCUCUGGUUCUCAUACGGGACAUGUCAAGGGCUGGUAAGGUUCUUCGCGUUGCUUCGAAUUGAACCACAUGCUCCACCGCUUGUGUGGAUCCCCGUCAAUUUCUCAUACAGGACUGCCUCCGUAAGGAGGAGGAAGGUGGGGAUGACGUUACGGUCUUAC